UACGUAGGGUGCGAGCGUUGUCCGGAAUUAUUGGGCGUAAAGAGCUCGUAGGCGGUUUGUCACGUCUGCUGUGAAAUCCCGAGGCUCAACCUCGGGUCUGCAGUGGGUACGGGCAGACUGGAGUGCGGUAGGGGAGAAUGGAAUUCCUGGUGUAGCGGUGGAAUGCGCAGAUAUCAGGAGGAACACCGAUGGCGAAGGCAGUUCUCUGGGCCGUAACUGACGCUGAGGCGCGAAAGCGUGGGGAGCAAACAGG
rnacentral:rRNA from 1 species